UACGUAGGGUGCAAGCGUUAAUCGGAAUUACUGGGCGUAAAGCGUGCGCAGGCGGUUAUGUAAGACAGAUGUGAAAUCCCCGGGCUCAACCUGGGAACUGCAUCCGAGACUGCAUUGCUAGAGUAUGGGAGAGGGAAGCGGAAUUUCUGGUGUAGCAGUGAAAUGCGUAGAUAUCAGAAGGAACAUCAGUGGCGAAGGCGGCUUCCUGGACCAAUACUGACGAUCAGGUGCGAAAGCGUGGGGGAGCAAACAGG
rnacentral:rRNA from 1 species